UACGAAGGGUGCAAGCGUUACUCGGAAUUACUGGGCGUAAAGCGUGCGUAGGUGGUGAGUUAAGUCUGUCGUGAAAGCCCCGGGCUCAACCUGGGAAUGGCGAUGGAUACUGGCUCGCUAGAGUGCGGUAGAGGAGAGUGGAAUUCCCGGUGUAGCAGUGAAAUGCGUAGAGAUCGGGAGGAACAUCAGUUGCGAAGGCGGCUCUCUGGACCAGCACUGACACUGAGGCACGAAAGUGUGGGGAGCAAACAGG
rnacentral:rRNA from 1 species